UGGGGAAUUUUGGACAAUGGGCGAAAGCCUGAUCCAGCAAUGCCGCGUGUGUGAAGAAGGCCUUCGGGUUGUAAAGCACUUUUGUCCGGAAAGAAAUCCUUGGCUCUAAUACAGUCGGGGGAUGACGGUACCGGAAGAAUAAGCACCGGCUAACUACGUGCCAGCAGCCGCGGUAAUACGUAGGGUGCAAGCGUUAAUCGGAAUUACUGGGCGUAAAGCGUGCGCAGGCGGUUUGCUAAGGCCGAUGUGAAAUCCCCGGGCUCAACCUGGGAACUGCAUUGGUGACUGGCAGGCUAGAGUAUGGCAGAGGGGGGUAGAAUUCCACGUGUAGCAGUGAAAUGCGUAGAGAUGUGGAGGAAUACCGAUGGCGAAGGCAGCCCCCUGGGCCAAAUACUGACGCUCAUGCACGAAAGCGUGGGGAGCAAACAGGAUUAGAUACCCUGGUAGUCCACGCCCUAAACGAUGUCAACUAGUUGUUGGGGAUUCAUUUCCUUAGUAACGUAGCUAACGCGUGAAGUUGACCGCCUGGGGAGUACGGUCGCAAGAUUAAAACUCAAAGGAAUUGACGGGGUCAUAGCUGUUUCCU
rnacentral:rRNA from 1 species